GUGUUCAAAAACGCCGGUGAUGAAAACAGGGCAUUCUUCUGCGCUUCAAUUUUCGCUUUUUUCACCUUGAAAAGUUGCCGUCGUUUUCUCCUCCUAUGACGUGGCGCACUCAAGACAAUGAGGCGUACUUCAUCUAUUUUUUCUGUAGUACCGUCAGUUUUUUUGUUUUGUUUUUCAGAAAAGCACGCUGCUAUUUUUUUUCUUAUGGCAUUUUGUUUCUCUUAAAAUGACAACUUUAUUCCUCUUAAUACCGGAGUAUUUUUUUUCACCCCGACCAUGACAGCUUUUUCUACUUAUGCCCCACCGUUUUCGACUUAUUCAACGCCUUGGCUUAUGUUUUGUCGAAGGCUGUUUUAUAAUGAAGCUCGGCGUUGUUCGACAGUGUGUUUGCUGCCUUAAGCCCUUGCAUGAAUAUGUGUUUUGCCGACCGCGGGCAUGAAUGAACAAUUCGAAACCGUCCAGGAAGUACACCGACGAGCACGGGCAAAUACAGUCAUGCCGCGGAGGGAUUUGCGGCCGGGAUGAACCAUUUCAGGAAAACUCCCCGUUCCUUCAUUGCCUACAUUUUUGAGGGUCGCGCGCAGGUGCUUUGAUUUCCUGGACGACUCACAUUGAGGAGUCCCGGACGUGUUGUGUCAACACAGACUUGACACUUGGGAUGGGACACUGGCAUAGCAAUAGCAUAGCA